rnacentral:rRNA from 1 species
UUGGCGGCGUGCCUAAUACUGCAAGUCGAGCGAAUCGAUGGGAGCUUGCUCCCUGAGAUUAGCGGCGGACGGGUGAGUAACACGUGGGCAACCUGCCUAUAAGACUGGGAUAACUUCGGGAAACCGGAGCUAAUACCGGAUACGUUCUUUUCUCGCAUGAGAGAAGAUGGAAAGACGGUUUACGCUGUCACUUAUAGAUGGGCCCGCGGCGCAUUAGCUAGUUGGUGAGGUAAUGGCUCACCAAGGCGACGAUGCGUAGCCGACCUGAGAGGGUGAUCGGCCACACUGGGACUGAGACACGGCCCAGACUCCUACGGGAGGCAGCAGUAGGGAAUCUUCCGCAAUGGACGAAAGUCUGACGGAGCAACGCCGCGUGAACGAAGAAGGCCUUCGGGUCGUAAAGUUCUGUUGUUAGGGAAGAACAAGUACCAGAGUAACUGCUGGUACCUUGACGGUACCUAACCAGAAAGCCACGGCUAACUACGUGCCAGCAGCCGCGGUAAUACGUAGGUGGCAAGCGUUGUCCGGGAACUCUGGGCGUUAAACGCCGCGAAGGUGGUUCCUUAAGUCUGAUGUGAAAGCCCA